rnacentral:rRNA from 1 species
GCAGUCGAACGCUUCUUUUUCCACCGGAGCUUGCUCCACCGGAAAAAGAGGAGUGGCGAACGGGUGAGUAACACGUGGGUAACCUGCCCAUCAGAAGGGGAUAACACUUGGAAACAGGUGCUAAUACCGUAUAACAAUCAAAACCGCAUGGUUUUGAUUUGAAAGGCGCUUUCGGGUGUCGCUGAUGGAUGGACCCGCGGUGCAUUAGCUAGUUGGUGAGGUGACGGCUCACCAAGGCCACGAUGCAUAGCCGACCUGAGAGGGUGAUCGGCCACAUUGGGACUGAGACACGGCCCAAACUCCUACGGGAGGCAGCAGUAGGGAAUCUUCGGCAAUGGACGAAAGUCUGACCGAGCAACGCCGCGUGAGUGAAGAAGGUUUUCGGAUCGUAAAACUCUGUUGUUAGAGAAGAACAAGGAUGAGAGUAACUGUUCAUCCCUUGACGGUAUCUAACCAGAAAGCCACGGCUAACUACGUGCCAGCAGCCGCGGUAAUACGUAGGUGGCAAGCGUUGUCCGGAUUUAUUGGGCGUAAAGCGAGCGCAGGCGGUUUCUUAAGUCUGAUGUGAAAGCCCCCGGCUCAACCGGGGAGGGUCAUUGGAAACUGGGAGACUUGAGUGCAGAAGAGGAGAGUGGAAUUCCAUGUGUAGCGGUGAAAUGCGUAGAUAUAUGGAGGAACACCAGUGGCGAAGCGGCUCUCUGGUCUGUACUGACGCUGAGCUCGAAGCGUGGGAGCA